GCAUAUCAAUAAGCGGAGGAAAAAGAAACCAACAGGGGAUUGCCCUAGUAACGGCGAGUGAAGCGGCAACAGCUCAAAUUUGAAAUCUGGCCCUCGGGUCCGAGUUGUAAUUUGUAGAGGAUGUUUCUGGCGACGUGUCUUCCGAGUUCCCUGGAACGGGACGCCAUAGAGGGUGAGAGCCCCGUCCGGUCGUACGCCUAGCCUCUGUGAAACUCCUUCGACGAGUCGAGUAGUUUGGGAAUGCUGCUCAAAAUGGGAGGUAUACGUCUUCUAAAGCUAAAUACCGGCCAGAGACCGAUAGCGCACAAGUAGAGUGAUCGAAAGAUGAAAAGCACUUUGAAAAGAGGGUUAAAUAGUACGUGAAAUUGCUGAAAGGGAAGCGCUCAUGACCAGACUUGGGCUCGGUGAAUCAUCCGGCGUUCUCGCCGGUGCACUUUGCCGGCCCAGGCCAGCAUCAGCUCGCCUCGGGGGAUAAAGGUUUCGGGAAUGUAGCUCCCUCGUGGAGUGUUAUAGACCGUUGCGUAAUACCCUGUGGCGGGCUGAGGUACGCGUUCUGCAAGGAUGCUGGCGUAAUGGUCAUCAGUGACCCGUCUUGAAACACGGACCAAGGAGUCGUCUUCGUAUGCGAGUGUUCGGGUGUCAAACCCCUACGCGUAAUGAAAGUGAACGUAGGAGAGAGCUUCGGCGCAUCUCCGACCGAUCCUGAUGUUCUCGGAUGGAUUUGAGUAAGAGCAUACGGGGCCGGACCCGAAAGAAGGUGAACUAUGCCCUGUAUAGGGUGAAGCCAGAGGAAACUCUGGUGGAGGCUCGCAGCGGUUCUGACGUGCAAAUCGAUCGUCAAAUAUGGGCAUGGGGGGCGAAAGACUAAUCGAACCUUCUAGUAGCUGGUUUCCGCCGAAGU
rnacentral:rRNA from 1 species